UACGAAGGGUGCAAACGUUGCUCGGAAUCAUUGGGCGUAAAGCGCACGUAGGCGGCCCCAAAAGUUGGAUGUGAAAUCCCUCGGCUCAACCGAGGACGUGCAUCCAAAACUGUGGGGCUUGAGUACUGAAGAGGAUCGCGGAAUUCCCGGUGUAGAGGUGAAAUUCGUAGAUAUCGGGAGGAACACCAGUGGCGAAGGCGGCGAUCUGGGCAGAUACUGACGCUGAGGUGCGAAAGCGUGGGGAGCAAACAGG
rnacentral:rRNA from 1 species